rnacentral:rRNA from 1 species
GAUGAACGCUGGCGGCGUGCUUAACACAUGCAAGUCGAACGAAGCGCUUAAAUGGAUUUCUUCGGAUUGAAGUUUUUGUGACUGAGUGGCGGACGGGUGAGUAACGCGUGGGUAACCUGCCUCAUACAGGGGGAUAACAGUUAGAAAUGACUGCUAAUACCGCAUAAGCGCACAGUGUUGCAUGGCACAGUGUGAAAAACUCCGGUGGUAUGAGAUGGACCCGCGUCUGAUUAGCUAGUUGGUGGGGUAACGGCCUACCAAGUCGACGAUCCAUAGCCGGACUGAGAGGUUGAACGGCCACAUUGGGACUGAGACACGGCCCAG